CCUAACACAUGCAAGUCGAGCGGUAACAGAAAGUAGCUUGCUACUUGCUGACGAGCGGCGGACGGGUGAGUAAUGCUUGGGAACAUGCCUUGAGGUGGGGGACAACAGUUGGAAACGACUGCUAAUACCGCAUAAUGUCUACGGACCAAAGGGGGCUUCGGCUCUCGCCUUUAGAUUGGCCCAAGUGGGAUUAGCUAGUUGGUGAGGUAAUGGCUCACCAAGGCGACGAUCCCUAGCUGGUUUGAGAGGAUGAUCAGCCACACUGGGACUGAGACACGGCCCAGACUCCUACGGGAGGCAGCAGUGGGGAAUAUUGCACAAUGGGCGCAAGCCUGAUGCAGCCAUGCCGCGUGUGUGAAGAAGGCCUUCGGGUUGUAAAGCACUUUCAGUCAGGAGGAAAGGUUAGUAGUUAAUACCUGCUAGCUGUGACGUUACUGACAGAAGAAGCACCGGCUAACUCCGUGCCAGCAGCCGCGGUAAUACGGAGGGUGCGAGCGUUAAUCGGAAUUACUGGGCGUAAAGCGUACGCAGGCGGUUUGUUAAGCGAGAUGUGAAAGCCCCGGGCUCAACCUGGGAACUGCAUUUCGAACUGGCAAACUAGAGUGUGAUAGAGGGUGGUAGAAUUUCAGGUGUAGCGGUGAAAUGCGUAGAGAUCUGAAGGAAUACCGAUGGCGAAGGCAGCCACCUGGGUCAACACUGACGCUCAUGUACGAAAGCGUGGGGAGCAAACGGGAUUAGAUACCCCGGUAGUCCACGCCGUAAACGAUGUCUACUAGAAGCUCGGAGCCUCGGUUCUGUUUUUCAAAGCUAACGCAUUAAGU
rnacentral:rRNA from 1 species